rnacentral:rRNA from 1 species
CUUUUCUUAUGGAGAGUUUGAUCCUGGCUCAGGACGAACGCUGGCGGCGUGCCUAAUACAUGCAAGUCG